rnacentral:rRNA from 1 species
UAGGGAAUAUUGGUCAAUGGGCGCAAGCCUGAACCAGCCAUCCCGCGUGCAGGAAGACGGCCCUAUGGGUUGUAAACUGCUUUUCCAGGGAGAGAAACUUGCGUACGCGUUGCGCAAUUGACGGUACCCUGGGAAUAAGCAUCGGCUAACUCCGUGCCAGCAGCCGCGGUAAUACGGAGGAUGCGAGCGUUAUCCGGAUUCAUUGGGUUUAAAGGGUGCGUAGGCGGACUAUUAAGUCAGUGGUGAAAUCCUGCAGCUUAACUGCAGAACUGCCAUUGAUACUGAUAGCCUUGAGUUUGGUUAAGGUAGGCGGAAUGUGUAAUGUAGCGGUGAAAUGCUUAGAUAUGACACAGAACACCAAUUGCGUAGGCAGCUUACUGAGCCGACACUGACGCUGAUGCACGAAAGCGUGGGGAUCAAACA